AUCACUUCUUCUAUAUUAUCUUUGAACCAAAUUAAUCGAAGAUGCCUUCCUCUAAGCAAGCUUUUCUUUUCAUUACUUUUUUGUUGCAAUUUCAGUUAAUCUCUCUUGGAAUCCUAAAGUGGUGGCUUUAAGAGACUUAUCAAUUGAUGUUGUAAAGAUGAAAGGAAAAUUACUUUUUCCACUUGGUUACGAAAUAACUUGUGGUCGAAGUUGCAGUUCACAUAGCGAUUGCAGUGAUGGUACGGUGUGUAGAACUUGUUCUUACAAUCCUAAUCCAUUUGGAGGAUAUUGGGAUUGUCACAUUUGGUGAAGUUCAGGAUUUUUCAACAUCUUAACAAGUGCACUGCUAUUGGUGAAUGUUAUUUUGAAACUAUCUUGCGAUCAAGUUAAAUAAUGUUGUGCUUUUAUAUUUGUGCAAUAAAAAUAAAUAUGUAACCUUAUAAGUUUUUUAUAGGGAAACUAUUUGCUUUAA